UACGAAGGGGGCUAGCGUUGCUCGGAAUCACUGGGCGUAAAGCGCACGUAGGCGGCUUUUUAAGUCAGGGGUGAAAUCCUGGAGCCCAACUCCAGAACUGCCUUUGAUACUGAGAAGCUUGAGUCCGGGAGAGGUGAGUGGAACUGCGAGUGUAGAGGUGAAAUUCGUAGAUAUUCGCAAGAACACCAGUGGCGAAGGCGGCUCACUGGCCGCGACCUGACACUGAGGCACGAAAGCUGGGGGAGCAAACAGG
rnacentral:rRNA from 1 species